rnacentral:lncRNA from 1 species
CAAACCGGAUACGUGUAGACGCGCCUUUUUAGAAUCCUGAACAAAAUAGUUAUGGAUUCAAACCAAUCCGGACAGAUCUAACGACAUUGUAGAUAUACGUAUUAGAUCAACUUGUAUUAUAAAACGAUCAGUGGCAAAAUCCUUUAACCCUUAACACAAGGUCGAUUGUAUUCACCUAUUUGAUGUGCUUUCGAGCAAUUAAUAAAUUUCUUUAAUAAAAAAAUUACAGGAAAUGAAUCAGAAUCAUGUUCAUUGUGACAGGAAACUGACAAGCAUACUCUAUGUGAGAGGUAUUAUAUAAUAUAGCAAGACUUAUAGUUAUAUAUGUGAAGCCCUCGCAGCCCUCUAACAACUGACAUGUUGGUUCAGUAGAUCUGAUGGACAUCGUCAGAAGUCUUUCGCAAAUACACUACGGUAUAUUGGAGAAGUACAGUCCACAUUGUAGGUCGAUACUCGAUAUAGCGUAACGGCUGAGCCUGGCGAGAAUAAUAUGGUAUUCCAACAAGUGAAUCGACUUUCUUUGAGAGCAAGCAUAUUAUUUUUAUUCCGAUGAAGACAACAAGCUUUACUGGCCUAGCCAGAGUUAAUACCAUCAUCUUCGGUUACGACGGAUGGAUCGAUUUGUUCCUUCGUGUCUACCAGUUCAACAGCUUUCUUUAUUGCUUCAAACAAACAAUUCCCAGCUACAUAAUCGUUAUCGACCAAGUUGACCAACAGGUAGUUGUCGUGAAUUGUGUCAAUAAUUUCACGCGAUUUGGAUCCCUGUGGAUAUAACCUUGCCCACUGUUGUUGCCAUAGAGCAAAUGCUUCUUCCU